rnacentral:tRNA from 1 species
AAUAAAGUGCCUGAUUAAAGGAUUAUUAUGAUAAAAUAAAUUAUGUAGAUUUCUACCUUUAUUA